rnacentral:rRNA from 1 species
UGGGGAAUUUUGGACAAUGGGCGAAAGCCUGAUCCAGCAAUGCCGCGUGUGUGAAGAAGGCCUUCGGGUUGUAAAGCACUUUUGUCCGGAAAGAAAUCCUUGGCUCUAAUACAGUCGGGGGAUGACGGUACCGGAAGAAUAAGCACCGGCUAACUACGUGCCAGCAGCCGCGGUAAUACGUAGGGUGCAAGCGUUAAUCGGAAUUACUGGGCGUAAAGCGUGCGCAGGCGGUUUGCUAAGACCGAUGUGAAAUCCCCGGGCUCAACCUGGGAACUGCAUUGGUGACUGGCAGGCUAGAGUAUGGCAGAGGGGGGUAGAAUUCCACGUGUAGCAGUGAAAUGCGUAGAGAUGUGGAGGAAUACCGAUGGCGAAGGCAGCCCCCUGGGCCAAUACUGACGCUCAUGCACGAAAGCGUGGGGAGCAAACAGGAUUAGAUACCCUGGUAGUCCACGCCCUAAACGAUGUCAACUAGUUGUUGGGGAUUCAUUUCCUUAGUAACGUAGCUAACGCGUGAAGUUGACCGCCUGGGGAGUACGGUCGCAAGAUUAAAACUUAAAGGAAUUGAC